rnacentral:rRNA from 1 species
AUGCGAGUCGAGCGGUAACAUUUCUAGCUUGCUAGAAGAUGACGAGCGGCGGACGGGUGAGUAACGCGUAGGAAUCUGCCUAGUAGUGGGGGACAACAUGUGGAAACGCAUGCUAAUACCGCAUACGCCCUACGGGGGAAAGGAGGGGAUCUUCGGACCUUUCGCUAUUAGAUGAGCCUGCGUGAGAUUAGCUAGUUGGUGGGGUAAAGGCCUACCAAGGCGACGAUCUCUAGCUGGUCUGAGAGGAUGAUCAGCCACACUGGGACUGAGACACGGCCCAGACUCCUACGGGAGGCAGCAGUGGGGAAUAUUGGACAAUGGGCGCAAGCCUGAUCCAGCCAUGCCGCGUGUGUGAAGAAGGCCUUAGGGUUGUAAAGCACUUUCAGGAGUGAGGAAGGGUAUGCAGUUAAUACCUGUAUAUUUUGACGUUAACUCCAGAAGAAGCACCGGCUAACUCUGUGCCAGCAGCCGCGGUAAUACAGAGGGUGCGAGCGUNAAUCGGAAUUACUGGGCGUAAAGCGCGCGUANGCGGUUUGU